UGGUGCAUCGGCUAUUCACAGUGAAGCUACUAUAGUUUGACUGCAUAUUUUCUUGAUCCCUAGCCAUUUGGAUCUUUACCGUAUAUGUUGGCUACGAUGGAUUCAGAUUCGCUAUUAGGAGUAGGAUGCACUUAGAUAGAAUCUAUCGAUCUUGAUAGAAAAAAGAAGUCCUAUGCGAUUUGCGAGAUUGAGUUCAAAAAUUCUUCAGCCAAGGCAAGUAUGAAU
rnacentral:lncRNA from 1 species